UGUCUCAAAAAAAAAAAAAAAAAAAAAAAAAACCAAAAAAAAAAAAAAAGGAAAAACAUUAAAAUAUGUGUUGAUCUCUAAGCUUUAAAUGUAGGAAAAUCCUUAGAUGACCAACCAACCUUUCUAUUGGGUAACUGAGGAAACAACGUAAAAUUUAAUUUGCAACAGAUGACAUAUUAGGAUCUUAAUCCUGUGUCUUCUAACUUUAUAAUAAAAUGUUUUUCUUACUUUUACUAAAAUAUUUUAAGUUCUUACCAGAAGAUUUUUAGCAAGUCAAAGUAUAAAGGGCUUCUGUAGCUUAUUAAUAUUUAUCUUCUGAUUAAGCCAGCUUGUGGUUUAGUUAUUAAUUUUGUAAAUGUAAAUAUAGUAAGAAUAUUUUAAUUAUAUCUCAAAGGAAAUGUUCUUUUUACUAUCCUGUAUUCCUUAUUUGGAGUGUUUAAGUCAUUCUUUAACAUGUUAUCUGUCAUUGCUUCCUACAAGGAGGAUCUUACCUUUUCAGAUUAAAGGUGAUUUUUCGAGACAGGGUUUCUCACUCUGGAGACCAGGACAGCCUCAAACUCACAGAGAUCCACCUGCCUCUGCCUCCCGAGAUUAAAGGCAUGUGCCACCACUGCACAGCAGAUUUAAUUAUAAGACCUAUAUUUAAGAGCAAUCAAUUUUUUCUUGUGGGGCUGUCCGUAACUAAAGUAGUAAGAAAUCAUACAUGUUGUGGCUAGAAUUUAAAUACUACUUUUUACACGCGAAUGAUGUUUGUUUUUUGUUGUUUGUUUGUUUGUUUGUUUGUUUUUCCAAAUCAUUGUCGGCCAUUGAGAUAAGCAUUUGCUGCACAAGCAUGGCAACUCGUGUUUGAUCCUUGGAAUUGACAUAAAGGCGAAAUGAGAGGACCAACUCUACAAAAUUAUUCUCUGAUCUCUGUAGAAAUCAUAAUAAAGUUUUGUUUUAAUAACUGAACUCAACUUUUUUUAUUUUAACCAUUAUAUGAAAAACAAUUAUGAAAUAAUUACCAAUACAUAAUUUGUUCUAUUAAAACAUGCUUAGAAGUAUUUAUUGAAUGGAUUUAUAGUUUGUCCAAUUUUUUCCACAACAAUCCUAAAAUUUGAUUUCUUUUGUAUAUGUAUAAUCCUAAAAGUAGCUGAAGUUAGGGUUUCUUCUAAAUGGCAAGAAAAAGAACCCUGCAUUUUGCAUUUGCCAGUACAUGUUUAUAUCUAUAUAUUUCAGAUGUAAAGAAUGUACUGUUUGUGGCUAGUAUAUUUAUACUAAAUUUUUAAUUCUUGUUUUCAGUUCUAAAAAUGGUUAAAGAAAAUUUCAAAUAAUAUGGCUAGAAAGAAAAUAGAGUGACACAUCCCUAUGACACCAGCACUUGGGAAGUGGAGUGCUUGGGAGUUGAACUCAGGACCUCCAAAAGGGCUCUACUACUAAAACAUCCUAAUACCAAAACCGAAAACUGUUGAAGCCAUUUGUGUGCUAAAUAUUCCUCAUUCUUAAAUUAUUAAUGUAUCCUGUGGAUCAUUCUUUAAUGAGGUUACUUCCUGCUCUCCCAUUUGCCUUUGGUGAUUCUAUUAAAUAAUGUGUUUGGAAAA